CCUACGGGUGGCAGCAGUAGGGGAUAUUGCACAAUGGGGGAAACCCUGAUGCAGCAACGCCGCGUGGGGGAUGAAGUUUUUCGGUUUGUAAAGUCCUUUUGUCAGGGAAGAUAAUGACGGUAUCUGACGAAUAAGCCCCGGCUAACUACGUGCCAGCAGCCGCGGUAAUACGUAGGGUGCAAGCGUUACCCGGAUUUACUGGGCGUAAAGAGCGCGUAGGCGGGUAAGUAAGUCAGGUGUGAAAUCCCAUGGCUCAACCCCGGGACUGCAUUGGAAACUGUUUUACUGGAGUAUAGGAGGGGCAGGCGGAAUUCCUGGUGUAGGGGUGAAAUGCGUAGAGAUCAAGAGGAAUAC
rnacentral:rRNA from 1 species